rnacentral:lncRNA from 1 species
GUGGAGUAUGGUUGUUUCCUUGAAUGAAAGUGAGUGAACAAAAUGGACAAUCGAAUAAUGUCGCUUUCCUGAUUGCUUGCAAGCGACCAAAUUCAUAAUACACAUAUGAGAGAGAGAAGAGACCAUUUUCCAAAGCUGAAACCUUUGGUCAUUUGUUAUUAAGAAUUUUUUUUCUUCAAAAAUCUCCAUUUGAUUGUGUUUGUUUCUUCAAUAAUAUUUUCUUUUAAUUUGGAAUGAUAGCUAUUGAGAAAGGCAAUGGAAAUUUUUUUGAAAAAUUAGGGAUUAAUA